GGUGGCCUAGUGGUUAGAGCAUCCGCCUUUGAUGCAGAAGGUCAUAGGUUUGAUCCCGGGAAGAGUCA